rnacentral:rRNA from 1 species
AACGAACGCUGGCGGCGUGGAUAAGACAUGCAAGUCGAACGGGAUAUUAUUUGUAGCAAUACAAAUGAUGUCUAGUGGCGUAAGGGUGCGUAACACGUGGGCAAUCUGCCGAGAAGUGGGGGAUAGCUCGCCGAAAGGCGAAUUAAUACCGCAUGUGGUUAAGGAUGACAUCUUCCUGACACCAAAGCCGGGGCAACCUGGCGCUUCUUGAUGAGCCCGCGGCCUAUCAGCUAGUUGGUGAGGUAACGGCUCACCAAGGCUAUGACGGGUAGCUGGUCUGAGAGGACGACCAGCCACACUGGAACUGAGACACGGUCCAGACACCUACGGGUGGCAGCAGUCGAGAAUUUUUCUCAAUGGGGGAAACCCUGAAGGAGCGACGCCGCGUGGAGGAUGAAGGUCUUCGGAUUGUAAACUCCUGUCAUUUGGGAACAAUUGUCACGCGUUAACUGCGCGGGGCUUGAUAGUACCAGAAGAGGAAGAGACGGCUAACUCUGUGCCAGCCGCCGC